rnacentral:rRNA from 1 species
GCCGGCAGCCAUAUCAGCCUGCAGCCCAAGACUGGUUGUCCACUGACGCUAAGCAGGGCUGAGCCUGGUCAGUACCUGGAUGGGAGACCUCCUGGGAAAACUAGGUUGCUGCUGGAA